rnacentral:rRNA from 1 species
UACAGAGGGUGCGAGCGUUAAUCGGAUUUACUGGGCGUAAAGGGCGCGUAGGCGGUUAUGUGAGUGUGAUGUGAAAGCCCCGGGCUCAACCUGGGAAGUGCAUCGCAAACGACAUGACUGGAGUAGUUGAGAGGGUGGCGGAAUUUCCGGUGUAGCGGUGAAAUGCGUAGAGAUCGGAAGGAACGUCAAUGGCGAAGGCAGCCACCUGGCAACAUACUGACGCUGAGGCGCGAAAGCGUGGGGAGCGAACAGG